AGCACAAGAUCCUGAAGCUGAAUCUGCUCCCAGUCAUCCUGGAGUCAUCACCAAGGCCGAGAAGGCAGCAGCGCACGGCGAAGGGGUCAAGGCCUAGCUCAAGGAGAAUGAAGUCAGUCUUGGACGAGUUUAAGUACGAGGGGUUCGUGACGAAGCCAAGAAUGAAGUCAGUCUUUGAGGACGUGAAGCAGGUCACAGUCAACGAAAUUGGGCACAUCGAGGGGUGUUAUUCCAGAUAAACAUGUAAAAUCCAAGAUGUGAUAUAUGCCGUUGCACUUUCUCCAUGGAAAAAAAACCCUUUGCUCUAUGAACUAUUUGAACCGCCAUCCACUUAUUCAUCAAGGAAAACUAUUUAUAUAUGUCCUAUGGAAGGAUGGCCCUCAGGUUACCGUGGGAAGGGUUUUAAACAUGCUUCCAAGUUACAGAAACACGAGGAAUCAUAUGUCAAGUUGGAUUAGACUGAAAUUAUCUGCUGCGAACCCGGCUACAUAAAGACUUCUACUAAUGUGGGAUGCAUUGAUGCCCAUAACCAAUCGUGUCAUUGAUAUGUUCAGUGUGAUUUAUGUGGUCAUCAGUGAAUGUAUGAAGAUUCCUUUGGUAUUGAGAGGAUUAAAUGCCACUUUGAGGACAGCUAGUGCUCAUUUUGAAAGGAAUCCAAUUUCGACAAGCAAAUUAAGGCAGUUCAUGAGCAGAGUAGGCCCUUCACAUGCGGAUUCUCUGUUUCAUGUAAGGGACAAUCAUUAGAAAUGAACCUAGUGCUCACGUGCAUGUUGAGGUCGAUUUCACGGAUGCUGAUGAGCAACCACGACCUCGUCCAGUCCAGGCAAGCACAAGAGGAAACCCAUUUCCGUUGAGACUUUGACGAAAGAGGAUAGCUGCUUAUGUGUACGAUGAUGGAACUAAGUAUCUGUCAGGUUAUUUGUCUACUGAACCCACUGGAAAAUACCAUGCCAAGUUCUGAAUGAAGCAUAGUACAGCUAGCUUAAACACUUUCAGGCACUCAUGCUCUAGUUGAGAUCUUUAUGUUCUUUGUCAAGAACAGACAUACUUGCCUACAAACUAAACAGUGCCCUGGCAUAUGUAGAACAGUAAAUCAUUCUCUGCAAAAGAAAAAAAGAAAAAAAAAAUCUUUGGAUCAUGCAAACGUAUAGCCAGCCUCAGUUUAUUAGUGAAAAGGGUCAUCGACAGUAAGAUCAGCUGCUUUCUGGAUGCUCCAAUCAUUCUGAAAUUCAGGGCCUAGCACCAUUAUCUUGCAAUUACAGCUCCACGCUACCUCCGAGAGACACUAAUUAUGCAUUUAUGCUUCGUCUCCUUGGCCACCGAAGUAAGACUCUGUCUGUUUAGCAGAACAUACAAUGUCUGUAGCUCUUGCGCUGUCCUGGAAAUGAACUUAAGGAAUUCAAGUUGAAUUCAAGUGCACUUUGUUUCCCUCUAUAUUCAUGGAUAGCCAUCUUCUUGACGUG